CCAAAGUCAUGGUUAAGUGGGAAACGAUGUGGGAAGGCCCAGACAGCCAGGAUGUUGGCUUAGAAGCAGCCAUCAUUUAAAGAAAGCGUAAUAGCUCACUGGUCGAGUCGGCCUGCGCGGAAGAUGUAACGGGGCUAAACCAUGCACCGAAGCUGCGGCAGCGACGCUGAUGCGUUGUUGGGUAGGGGAGCGUUCUGUAAGCCUGUGAAGGUGUGCUGUGAGGCAUGCUGGAGGUAUCAGAAGUGCGAAUGCUGACAUAAGUAACGAUAAAGCGGGUGAAAAGCCCGCUCGCCGGAAGACCAAGGGUUCCUGUCCAACGUUAAUCGGGGCAGGGUGAGUCGACCCCUAAGGCGAGGCCGAAAGGCGUAGUCGAUGGGAAACAGGUUAAUAUUCCUGUACUUGGUGUUACUGCGAAGGGGGGACGGAGAAGGCUAUGUUGGCCGGGCGACGGUUGUCCCGGUUUAAGCGUGUAGGCUGGUUUUCCAGGCAAAUCCGGAAAAUCAAGGCUGAGGCGUGAUGACGAGGCACUACGGUGCUGAAGCAACAAAUGCCCUGCUUCCAGGAAAAGCCUCUAAGCAUCAGGUAACAUCAAAUCGUACCCCAAACCGACACAGGUGGUCAGGUAGAGAAUACCAAGGCGCUUGAGAGAACUCGGGUGAAGGAACUAGGCAAAAUGGUGCCGUAACUUCGGGAGAAGGCACGCUGAUAUGUAGGUGAAGUCCCUCGCGGAUGGAGCUGAAAUCAGUCGAAGAUACCAGCUGGCUGCAACUGUUUAUUAAAAACACAGCACUGUGCAAACACGAAAGUGGACGUAUACGGUGUGACGCCUGCCCGGUGCCGGAAGGUUAAUUGAUGGGGUCAGCGCAAGCGAAGCUCUUGAUCGAAGCCCCGGUAAACGGCGGCCGUAACUAUAACGGUCCUAAGGUAGCGAAAUUCCUUGUCGGGUAAGUUCCGACCUGCACGAAUGGCGUAAUGAUGGCCAGGCUGUCUCCACCCGAGACUCAGUGAAAUUGAACUCGCUGUGAAGAUGCAGUGUACCCGCGGCAAGACGGAAAGACCCCGUGAACCUUUACUAUAGCUUGACACUGAACAUUGAGCCUUGAUGUGUAGGAUAGGUGGGAGGCUUUGAAGUGUGG
rnacentral:rRNA from 1 species